GACGAACGCUGGCGGCGUGCUUAACACAUGCAAGUCGAACGGAAAGGCCCUGCUUUUGUGGGGUGCUCGAGUGGCGAACGGGUGAGUAACACGUGAGUAACCUGCCCUUGACUUUGGGAUAACUUCAGGAAACUGGGGCUAAUACCGGAUAGGAGCUCCUGCUGCAUGGUGGGGGUUGGAAAGUUUCGGCGGUUGGGGAUGGACUCGCGGCUUAUCAGCUUGUUGGUGGGGUAGUGGCUUACCAAGGCUUUGACGGGUAGCCGGCCUGAGAGGGUGACCGGCCACAUUGGGACUGAGAUACGGCGCAGACUCCAACGGGAGGCAGCAGGGGGGAAUAUUGCACAAUGGGAGGAAGCCUGAUGCAGCAACGCCGCGUGCGGGAUGACGGCCUUCGGGUUGUAAACCGCUUUCGCCUGUGACGAAGCGUGAGUGACGGUAAUGGGUAAAGAAGCACCGGCUAACUACGUG
rnacentral:rRNA from 1 species